rnacentral:scRNA from 1 species
UCGUGAACAUUUGUUGAGUACGUAUUUCAUUAGAAAAAUUGGUACCCGCCUGAGAUUCGAACAUCGGUGCAUCGCUCAAUACGAAUGCACCAGACGUCUUAUCC